AUGACUCUGGUCUCUGGUUUAGACGGGCGAUUUUAUCGCAUCGUACUGAAUUAUUAUAAAAUUCAAAUUGGCAUAAUACAAAUUGGCAUAAUUCAAAUUGGCUUGUGUUCAAUUGAAUUACAUUUUAAAGGAAUUUUGGUUUUAAACUCGACCAUCUUUAUUUUGAGGUAUAAUUUUUUUGAAUUGCUGAAAAAAUUUCAAUUAUCUUAUUAGAAAAACAUCGCUCUGGUCGCUUUACCACUAACUUGUCCAUGUUAUUAGUUUUGCAGCUUUAAAUUAAUUGUUUUACCGAACUAAAUACAGAGUAUGCUUAAGAGAUCUUUUUUUUUUUAUAAUCAGUUGCAGACACAAUUAAAUUGCUUUAAACGUUUACUUUACUUCAGAUUGCCCAUCAGCAAGGAAAACAAUUUUCAUUGAAAUUUUCAGCAAAUCUUUGGUUCCGCAAUACAAUGUUGAUCCAAACUUCCAUCAUUUUAAAAAAAAAUUCAGGUUGACAAAUGUGGAAUGUAAAACCGAUGUUUGUAAAACCAGUUUUAUUUCUGAAAAUCCCUAAGUUCUGCAAACUAAUCUUUGGACAUAUAUUCUAAUACUUUUUUAGUGAUGCAUCUUCCCUGUAAUUGUAAUUAUGGAUAUAUGGGGUUUUCUUGCUACAUAUGUUUUCCCCCCUUAUAAUCAUGAAGUACGUGUAAGAUCAAUUUAUAUUUUUGCGGGUUCUUAAUUCUUUUAGAAUCAACCUCUGAAAUCAGCGGAGGACUUAUAAUACUCAAUUCAAUAUUUUUCCGAUAGAGCCUGCUUAUCGUCUUUCAGUAGUGUGUACAUUUUUGCCAGAUUUUUUAAUGAAGAUCACGCUUUCCACAAGAAUAAGGAAAGGUAUUCUUUAUCUUUCUUUCUUUUGUUUUUCUAGUGCUAAGCAUUUUUUCUUGGUUACCAGUUUAUCCUGUAACUUUUCCGUCCCCUGAGUGUUAUGAUUUCAGUUGUAUUUAAAAAUCAUUGCAACUUAUUUGAUUAGGUACAGUGUACUGAUUAUUUGUAAAACGCCUUAUUUUAAACAUUUUUGAUACUUGAUUCUUCUUAUUUUUAGGUCAUUGACUGCUAUCUAAAAAAGUGCAAUUAACGUCACUGCCAUUUUUACUUAAUGGUUACUCCAACUGACGGACCUUUUUCCUGAAAUUUGAAAGAUUGUGGCACAUAAUUAUGUAGACAUAUUUGUUUUUACCUGCCCGUUAUGGUACGGCAGUAGUGUAUAAUACUUAAUAUCUGUAAUAAUUAAAUCCUGAUGGUGUAUACUUACAGAGCAGUUGUUCCUUCAAAGGAUAUUGGUACGUUCCUUCCUCAUGUUCACCAUUUGACGUAGAAAGAAUUUUAAAAAUAUUUUUAAUUUAAGUCAUCAUCAUAGUUGCUGACUGUAUGUAACAAGUAAUUUUUAGUCAAUUUUCAAUUUUAUACUUUCAGUGAUAUAAAUUCUAUUUAGCUCAGUAGACUUGCCACAGGUCAAAAGACUGGGAAGCACCUUGCGCUACUUUUACAAUUAAGUUCCAUUUUUCAUUGCCCCAUUCAUUUCCAUGUUUCAUUUUUCUACAUUCCAUCGCCUACUUUCUGCACUCAUCACAUGCCUUCAAAGAAAAGUGGGGCCUUAUUUUUGUAUAUCAUGUAAAUAUUCCUCGAAAAACCACGUCACUCUUGUAAAAAAUGUUUCUUACCUUGUACUAUAAUGUUAUUUAGUUAUUUUUGUUAGUGACCAAGUGUUAAUUCGCCUUAUCUAUUUGAGGUUAGCCAAAUGAUCCAAUAUUCAGUUGAGACUAAUUGUUUCUAAAAUAACAAAGGGAUAGAGCAAAGGUUGCUGGAAUGCAAUGAGGCAUUACUUAUUAGGCUGUUUUUGCGUUGUAAUCUUUACAUCAAUGAAUGGUUUGAGUUCGAUUCAAGUUGAAUCUGGGGUAAAUAGCUUCAUGCACCAGUACCACUUUCAUAAAUGGUUAAUCAUAAAUUGUAUUCGCUUUAUUUUAAAAAAAAAUCAGAUCGAUAGGAAAUAGAUAUAUGCCUCAAAAGCACAUGACUCAAUUUUGAAGUGAAUUGGCCUACAAAAUUAAGUCCGAAGUUCGGUAGAGAAAACGGAAUCAAUGGAUUGUCUUAAUUGAUCAGUGAAAUUUAAAUGGCCUUCCCUUGACUUUAUUUUUGGUUCAUUAACUUCAAAAUUUAAUCAUAUACCCUCGAGAAAUGGAUUUCAAUUCGAUUUUGUAAAAUCAUCCCGAAUAGAAUUUAUAAACAGUCUUAAUUUAUGUGGUGGCAUUACCAGGAACCAUGUACCCUAGAUUCACAUUGAUUUUUGUUGAAAGAGAAUCAUCUUUCAUGUUUUUCUUUAAGUUUGUCUGCUGGUGAUAGCAAUGCUUUGUGAUAUUCGUUGAUCAGUUCAAAAAUUAUGAUUUUUAUAGCUAAAUGUAGUAUGAAUGAACGAACUUUUGCUCCUCUACCUUACGGUAUACUUACCUACUGUAUCCCUUUUUCCAUCUUCAUAAUAGUCAUAUUUUUCUUAAACUGAAUGCUUUAGAUUCUUCUAAAAAAUGUAUUUUCUUAAGAACUGUGAUAUUCAUUUUUAUAUUUUCCAAGUCUUGAUUACCUUUUAGCAGCUAUUUUUUAAACCUUCGAUGACUCAUUUGAUUUUAGCACACAAAAUGUUUCUACUCAUUGAGCUGGCAAUUUGCCAAGGUCAGAGAACAAUGUAUGGGAUACGUUCCUUAUAACUAUUCAAAGUUUGAAUUUAAUCAAACAUUUACCCAACUGAAAUAUUGAUCCAGAAACCAGAUUUUAAAAGCAUUGUGUACCUAGAGUGACACUUGACUUCCUCUCUUUCUCAGAGGAGCUUAGAAUCUCAGAAAUCAGAGUUACAGCACUUACUUACUCCGUUAUUUUUACUCUGGAGCAAUUUCCUUUACCUUUUUGACUAUCUUCUGUACGUAUUCAUCACUUUUCCUUUGCUUUGACUCAUGUUGUCCAUCCUAGUUAGGAACUCAUAAUUCUAAAGCAAUUGUUACUAAUUGUGUGUUAUACAGUGCUCUCUCCUUGCAGCGAAUCUCAAGGGACCGGAAGAUUCACCCGGUACAGAGAGAGAUCUAGUCGACAGAGGGGAAAAUACAUGUAUUUAAUAUAGGAAGAGCCCAAUAAAUCCCCUGCGAGCCGAUUAUUGAAAUUGAUAGACAAAGCUAUAGACAGAGAUGACAAAAGGGAUAUGCAGGGAACCUAUUGGUGGAAGCUGGUGGUUGCAAUGGACAAAGGCAGUAGGUAUUAGACUAACUGACGGCAACCCACGAGAGACCUGACAGCUAGUCCAUCAUUUUCUCCCUUAGUCCAUAAGAACCAGACAUUUCAACCAACAGGAUCGCUCCAUACCCCCUAUGUCUUCUUUGUCUAUAGCUAUGUCCAUCAAUUUCAAUAAUCAGUCCGCAGGAGAGUUUUCGGUAGUGGAGAGGACCGCUACAAAAAGAGAGCACUGUACUUCCAGAAUUGAAUUUUUGUCAAAUUUGAUCGAAGGUUUAAUCCUGGUAUUCUUUGUAACUGAAUGUACCCACAAGAUUAAGUUACAAAGACCGUUUUAUUUGUAAAUUUUCAACUGUACAGUUUUGUAAUUCUCUGUUUUGUAAUUAAUUUUAAGCAUGUCUAUAAUUUUUUUUACAAUAAAAAUAAAAAAGAACACUCGUGAAAACCGGUUUUAUUUAAAUGUUCUUCACCUCAACUCAAAAUUUUUAAGACUACCAGUGAACUUUGUCUCCUUUAGGUUUUUUUCCCUAGAUGGAAAAACAUUCAAAAUUCUCUUCAACCUCAGCAAAAAAUGCAAAUGAUGAAAGACCAAAGGCAGAGACCAUCUUCUUUCCUGUUAUCCUCUGCCAAAAUGAGUAGCAACACUACGUACGAGGAGAAUCUUAAAGUUAAUUUUUUCAACCGACUCAACAAUUGGGCAACAAUUUAGGCAAACAAUGGACUUGCCUCCAUGGACUGAAGUCCCUUUCCUGUGUAUGGUCUUUUAUUUGGUGGAAAAAAAACCAUAUACCUCUCGAUAGCUGUUUCAAAAUUUCAGUUUUCAUUCUAAUUUGGACCGCGUUAAACAGAAAGGAACCAAGUCACAACAGUUAUUGCCUUUCAUUGGGCAAUUUCAUUUCUUACAUGAAAACGUUGUGCGGAUUUUCGAGCAAAUUUCAGUAAAUUUUCU
rnacentral:lncRNA from 1 species